CCAAACACAACAAUAACCAAUAGUGUUCCUCAUUUUUCUAUCUCCUCAGAAUUCGCAUCUAAAAAAACAAACAAAGGAAUAUCAAAAUAUUGUUUAAUUGAAUCCUUGGAGAAAUGAAUCUGCUUGUCUUCAAUUCUUAACUCAUACAAUAUUGGUAUUUUGAACACAUCUGAACCGGUCAAUGGCAAAACUGUAGCAAGAAGAGUUUUGUGUUUACACCAAUGAUGCUGAUAGUAAAAGUUGAGUAAAAGUCUUUUGUUGCUGCUACAAAUAAAUGCAGUGCAAGAAUCUGAAUUUUAUUAUGAUGGUCUGUACUUGUUGAUCUCUUUUCAAGUCUUACUUCCACUCAAAGCUCUUUUACACAUCCUGUCAUCAUCCCCCGUUCACACCCAUCUCUACACCGAUGACAGGACACAUCGACAUGGACACUUGAGGAGCCGGGAUCCAACCACCGUCCAUUCUUUGAAGGACGACCCUGCUCUCGACACUCAGAUCAGUUUUAGUUUUCCUACAGCAUGUCCACAUCUCCAGCAGAAUAACAACACACUGGGCCACUAUGUUUACCCAGAUAUUUGUGACCGCUACAAAGCCAUCAGAUCAUAUAUCCCUUCUGAUUAAACGGGCAUGACCAUCCGAAAAAGAGUGUGGACACAUUAAGUUACAGCUGCUCUACAGAACAUACAGACUGGCACAGCUCGGGCAUGCUGCCACCCAGGAGACUGACAUGAAGAGUCAGCUGUCAAUUAUGCCCCGGCUCCAGAGGAACGGCCACUGUCUGUAAACCUGAUGAGAAAGAAUACGAUUAAAGCUGCUGGACCUGA